rfam:Triticum aestivum genome assembly, contig: Triticum_aestivum_CS42_TGACv1_scaffold_576851_7BL
CAAGUACUCCCUCCGUCCGGAAUUACUUGUCAUCAAAAUGGAUGUACCCAGAACUAAAUACAUCUAGAUACAUCCAUUUCAAUGACAAGUAUUUUCGGACGGAGGGAGUACAAG